rnacentral:rRNA from 1 species
AUUGAACGCUGGCGGCAUGCCUUACACAUGCAAGUCGAACGGUAACAGGUCUUCGGAUGCUGACGAGUGGCGAACGGGUGAGUAAUACAUCGGAACGUGCCCGAGAGUGGGGGAUAACGAGGCGAAAGCUUUGCUAAUACCGCAUACGAUCUCAGGAUGAAAGCAGGGGACCGCAAGGCCCUUGCGGCUCACGGAGCGGCCGAUGGCAGAUUAGGUAGUUGGUGAGGUAAAGGCUCACCAAGCCGACGAUCUGUAGCUGGUCUGAGAGGACGACCAGCCAC